rnacentral:rRNA from 1 species
ACCUCGGAUCAGGUAGGGAUACCCGCUGAACUUAAG